GUUAACCGGACCCUAAAUUCAGGAAGGGUUUUCACUUCUCAUACAAAAAGUCAAAAACAUAGACAUACAUCUCCCAGAGCAACUGGUGCGUUCGUCGUGCUCGGACUGCUCGCCCAGCCACCGGUACCUCGCUGCUGCUGCUGCUCCCCUCUCAGGUGGGAGAACAUAAUUCAUAAACAAUGAAGUCAGAUCCAAAUAGACUUUCCAAAACUCACUCCCACCAUGGUAUUAAUUCCAGCAGUUUUAAGCUCAAACAAACUGCUUCCUGUUUUGACUUUAGAGAACUUUCAAAGGCCCUCAAUGUUGCAUCUUCCUCUUCAUCUUCAUCUGAUGCCAUAAAUAUCGCUUCCAACCAAGAAGGGACUGCUAUUGCUUCUGCUUCUGCUUAUGAUUGCAGCAAGCUCUUGGAGGCACUGCAUGGCAUUGAAGAGGUGUUCAAAUCUAAAGAAGAAGAAUAUUGUAGAGAAAAUGUACAGAGAUGCGAAGGCCGAACCAGAGUAACCGGAAAGAACAGAAAAGCAAGAAUUGAAAGAAGGUUACAAAGACAAAGAUUGCUAUUCGAAAAAUGCCAAUAGGGUAUAAUAUAUAUAGAUCCUACAAGGUCUAGGAUCAGGUGUAGAUGGGCUUUACACUAAAUUGGUGCCCAUACUUACACACAAUCCUUAUAUACACUCUCACAGUCCUUCUAACCCAUUUGUCUCUUUAAUUUCUCUGCUCCUACUUGCCUGCACUAGUUGAUUCAUGUAUUUACAUAAUUUUUUUUUUUUUUAAUUCAUUUGUUUGGUUA